UUACCCAAACUUGAGUCCUGGAGGUGGGAAGUAGUUGGGAGGGUCAUGUGAACUAUGUUGUCAGCACACUUCUGGCAGGACAGUUAUUGAAUGAAUGAUGAUGAAACUACUUUCCUCUUAUGGAUGGUUACCCUAACUCAGUGGGAGAUGGCACGUGUUACAAAGAAUAAUGUAAUGGCAUGAAGGCCUCUCAAGGGAUGUUCCUUGUUGCUGGUGAGGGGCUUUUGAUCCAAGGAAUUGUACCUGUGCUCCCUUGGAUCACACCCAAAUACCUAUUCCUCCAGGUGCUGUAUGACUGCUAUGGGUUGAGUGCUCCCCCGUAAAUUUAAUAAUGAUGGCAUGAAGGAGGGUGCAGCUCUUAGCUCUAUUUUUUUUUUUUUUUCAUUGAUUGUGCAGACGAAAAAUAUAUAGCAUAGGGAGUUAGCAGUCAUGAAUAUAUGUUUGGGUAUGUGGAUGUUCUGUAAUUUGCAUCUACCAGAGCAUUUGAGAAAAAAUCUUUAGACAUCCAUAAUCAUGGAACUGAAAUCUGACAUUGAUUCCAAAUAAAGUCUUUUUACAAAUAUAUGUUUAGAUUAUAACUUAAAUUGAUUAUAACUUAAUUGUUAAAACAAUUAUUUGUAUUUUUUCCUAUUAGGGAUUCAAGAGGAGAAAAUACAAGGAAAAAUCUAAAUAUAUUUUACUGGGGUGUAUUUUUCCCCACAAGUGCUAUCUUAGAUCUUUCUAAACUGUCAUAUCUGAGUCCCUCUGCAAAGACAGUGAUUAUGUAUGAGUGAUGGUGGAAGUGUUGAAUGAUGAUGAAAUUUUUUUUUCUUUCUUUUUGGGUUUUUCUUUUUGGGUCACCCUGCCUUGGUGGGAAACAGCCUACGUGUUAAAAAAAAAUGCUAUCUUGCUUUACUGUAUAUGGCUGUUAAUUUUAGGAUCCUAACAUUAAUUUGAACAACCUGUUAAAAUGGAAGAAAAGUUUGAUAUGAGUGUACUGUCCAUCCUUGUACUCCAAAUGAUAUGAUUCCUAAUUUCAUGAAAGCUUCUUCCUGAGAAAGAAUUUACAGCACAAUGUCAUCUUUAUGCAAUUGAGGAAUUAAUCUUGUUGGACCAUACAUACAUUAUCUAGUCAAUCACUUGAUUGUUAUUUGAUCUUAUUGAAAAAUAAACAUUAUGCAGAAUUAUACUAGAGGAGUACAGUAUAAUACAGUGAAACAUGUAUCCAGUGUUCUGGUCGCUAAAAGUUAUCAGGUUCCUGUGUCUGGUGUCAAGGUGGCAGGAAAGGUUGGCCACAGAUCUUUGCUUUGAUUCAGUGUAUUUUGUGAUUCUGCUAAUAUUUUACUCAACAUAUUCAUUAUUUGUUAAGCUGGAUGCUGUAUUUUCAGUACAGCAUACUGUAUAUUAACUGUAAAAAGCAUUUUUCAUUCAAAUUUUGGUGCUAUUUUGUUAAGGUUUUCUGCCAUUUUACUUGUAAUUAAUUCUUCCUUGUAAUCUAUGACUUUGUCUAUCUUUGUCUUAUGUUUUAUAACAUGUUACUUGGUAUCAACAGUUGGGUUUGCAAAUCAAAGAAUUCCAGACAGUAUCAAGGCAUUAUUAGUAAGCUAGCCAGCUGGAACCAUGAAGUUGCAUCAUUUAACCCUUUCACUGUCUCCCAGGUGGAUCUAUGAAGUGCUAUCACAAAGUUCCUGAGCAUGAAUUUUUGCACACUUCCUGGGUGAAAUAUGAUGGUAGCAUAGAUCACACUGUGCAAUCGACUCCUUUGUGCGGUAGUGUGGCGAGUUUCAUUGCAGUUAGUCAUUCCAUUAAGGUUAGACUGGCAUUUUUUGGUCAUGUCAGUGCAUUGUUGCAAUUUUUCGUGUAACAGAAUGGAAUCUUUUAAAGAAAAAACAGCGUGGGUGUGUGUGAAAUUCUGUUUCAAGCUCAGUAAAAUGCCCUAGUGAAACUCACAAAGUGCUUCAUCGAGCAUUUGGCGACAAAGCAAUGGGUCAAACAGCGUUUUUAAUGGGUUUUUUAUUCAUAGCAGGACGAACAUCAAAAACAGAUACCAACAUUGAAAAGUGAGGAAGGCUAUUCACAGUAAUAGUCAUUAGGGUAUCCAGGACAGUACAGGUGCUGUGGGAAUUUCUUAUGGGUCGUGUCAAAGCAUUUUAACUGAAAAUUUGAACAAGGGGCAAUUGGCUGCAAAAUUUGCUCCAAUUGCUCACUCAAGACCAGAAAGACCAUCAUUUUCUGGCAAAAACAAUAUGGUGGUCAUCCCCCACCCUCACUAAUCACCAGAUCUAGUCCCCUGUGACUUCUUUCUCUUCCAAAAAUAAAAAUGGCACUCAGAGAGUGGCAGUUUAACAAUGUGGAGGAGAUUCAAGCAGAAUCACAAGCCGUGCUGGGCACCAUUAGGAAAAGAGUUGCAGAAAUGUUUCUAGAACUGGCAAAGAUACUGGGACCAGUGUAUAGUCUCCCAAGGGAAGUACUUCGAGGUGAUUAGGUAAGUUCGUAUGUAUAUUUUUUUUCUGUGGAAGUUUGGGAACUUUUUUAUAGCACCUUGUAUGUUAUUCAAGCCAGUGUGACUUAUGUAGAACUAUGCAUAAAUUCUAGCAGUCUCAGAUUUGGCAUGAGAGGCCUGGUAGGCCUAGGCAUAAGAAAAAAUGUCUUUAUGGUCAUUUUGCAGUGUACAAAAGAUUGGGGCUGCCACAGUGUAUUGUGGGAAUGCCAUCUUAGUACAGUAUUCCAUUGUCCAUUAUGCCAUCGAUACAAUACUCUCACUCUUUGCAUGUAUUAUUCUCCAGUGACAGCUCCAGCAACAAGGAUAUUAAUCCAAGGAUAAAUUCCAUUGGUUCAAACAUAUAGUGACUGAAAGUAACAAUUGAUGUGUCAGAAAUAAUGCUGAAAACCCUGAUGACCCUACAGUCAUCCACUUCUGGGUCAGUGCAUCCACAUGUCCACACCAUAAUUGACACCUCAUAUUCUCCAGUGAUUGGGCACAGAUGUGAGCAGUAAUGAUGGUAGUGAUGUGGAUUUUGAUUUCCUAGCAAUUGAUGAUGAUUUGCAUGUUAAGUGUCAAUUUACACAGUAAUGCAUGUAGUCUGAUAGUGUCCCUCUUGCUAUCCUUAAGGGACAUAGUAGAUCAUGAGACCCAGCUCCAGUAACUGAUAGUGAUAGUGAAGAUGAUGAUGCUUUCGUUGGCAUUGGUAGUAGACCAUGGGCAAUGCAGACAGUGCGUGCAGCAGUGGCUGACAGGACAAAGAACCUGGCAGCACCAGCACCAGCCCCUGGAGGGAGUCAUAUCCCAAUGACCCCAGGCCGUGUUGUCCAUCCAUACAGCAACCACUGCUAGCACCACCACCCCCACAGCCAGCCACAAAUAUCCAGCAACAACCACCAGGCCACAGCUGGUAUUGGCAGGAGGAUGUGCAAUUUGUGCCCAGUUCCCAUUAAUUUGACAACACAGAGAGUGAUAUCCAGGCAAAUUGUACCCUCAGGAAUGAUGCUGCUGACAUGGCUUCUUUGGGCUCCAUUUCAGUGAGCCCCUGAUGUAAACAGUAGUUAUGGAGACUAACAGAUACUACAAGUAUUCAAUGGCAAACAUGUUGGUUUCAUCAUGAUCACAUCUUCACAGGUGGAAAGACACAGCUGUGUCCGAGAUGUAUCGUUUUGCCAUGUUCAUUUUUAUGCCACGUGUAUAAGCACAAUACAUCAUAAUAGUAGACUGGCUUCCUUAUAUGUACCCUGGCAUUUUGUGAUCUCAUCCCCAUCAAAAGAGUUAUCCUACUGUUGUAUAUGCUACACAUCUCAUACAAGAUGAGGCAUGAUAGAUGUGACAUUAUACAAGAUUAGGGGUGUUUUUAUGUAUCUCUAAGAUAAGUUCAUCUAGUUCUUUUGUUCAUCCCAGAACUUUGUUAUCAACAAGUCUCUAAUCCAAUUCCAAGCCAUAUAUUACAAGCGAUAGGAAAUGCUCUGGUAUAAAACUGUUCAUUUCAUCUGGUCUGGUAUUGGAUAUUGUGUAAAUAGGAAGUAAAACAUUGGAAGAUAUCAAGAAGCUAUUGGGAAUCUCCAGUGAUGUGGUGAGUAAAAUGAUGUAACCAUAUCUUGAGAAGGGCCAUACAUUAUACACUCAUAACUGAUACACAGGCCCCUUAUUCAGUGAUUUUCUGCUGAUGAAUAUGAGAGAUGUGUGGUACAGUGUGUGGAAUACAAAAACAUAUGCCUGAGUUCAGUGCAGGCAUUGAUGGUGAAGUGCAUUGUUUCAUGCCAGUGACAUGGCAUUUCGAUGACAUGAGAAACGUGAUGUGACAUUGUUGAAAUCCAUCCACGAGCACGAAAUGAAAGAUAGAGGAAAGGUGAAACCAGUGAACCAAUGAGACCAACUGCUGUUAUGGAUUACAUGAAUACCUGCAUUUGGUGGACAAACGUGAUGUGCAGAUUGGGUUUGUUGGUUAUGUCCAGAAUUAUGAGUGGUACAUGAAACUUUUCUUUCAUCUUAACAUUGCAGUGCUGAAUGCAUACAGUAUGUACCAGAUAAAGACUGGGAAAUGCUGCCAUAUGCCCACUUCUGUUUGCUUGUCAUCAGACAAAUAAUACAGAAAUACAAAAUCACAAUGCAUGUGACCUCACUGAUCACUAAUUACUCUCUCAUUUGCAGUAUGGUGAUCACUUUCUAACUAAACUUCCUGCUACAGACAAGAAGACGUGGACUCAAAAGAGAUGUUAUGUCUGUGAACACACACUUAUCUAGGUGCCCAGCAAAGCACAGGGAUACACAUUUCGUGUAGAGAAUGUCAACCACCACUGAAUAUGGAGCCAUGAUUUAGGUGCUUCCAGACUGGAAAAGUAAUAGGAACAUGACCAGUGCCUGUAUAUAUGUAGAGAAGAAGCAGAAACAAACAGGUGGAAGGAUGUGAUGGCUGGGGAUUUAGGGGAAUGGGGAAAUGCUGAAGAGAAGAAUGAUUCUGGCAAGAGUGAACUGGCUAAGUUAGUUAAUAUUGAUGGAGUUCAAAUGCUUUAAUGAUCUCAUUUUUAUCUCUUUCAAAUAAUAUAAUGGAUUUUUAAGUCACUGUAUAAUGCUUAAUGCAUCAUUGUGGAAUUUAAUGUGAAUUCUUGAUUUUGGAAUUAUAUUGAAAAUUUGAUGAAAAGAUCAGUGUAGAUUAACUAUUUGCUUUAAACUAGUAAGAUAAAAAUUAUUAUUUCAUACAUGGAAAAUCUAGUAAUGACACUUCUCAAAGAAAAUGGCUUUGUAAAAUUUUGUAGAUUUAAAAGUUUGAGGUUAUUGUUAUUAAUUUUUGUGGAAAACUUUUAUUAGUUACUUUCCAAUCAUGAAUGAUGUGUAUUUAGAACUAUUGUACUGGCUUUGACCAAAAAUUACUUUAUGAAUUAAUAUAAAUACUGCUUAUAUCUUUAUUAUUAGGCAUUUUAUAUUGUUCCUAGGAAUUUUACUACUGUACAACCAAUUUAUGUGAUACUGUAGGAUGAUGAAAUGAUAUCAGAACAAACCAGUUAGUCUAUUAAAGCUGUGUAGGAUUUUAGUUGUUGAAUUUAACAAAAAAAAAAAAAUUAGUACAUAUUGUACUUCAUGCCUUUUAUGGCAUGAAGUCUCUAUUCUUACUGAAUUUCAGAAAUUACAGUGCUUGUAUGUGUAUGUAUAUACUGUUUGAACUUGCUGUUCAUGUUCUUUGUAAAUACAGUGGUCCCUCGUUUUUCGUAAUUAAUCCAUUCCAAAGAGGGUGACUAUUAUCGAAAUUGACAAUUUGCGAAACCAUUUUCCCCAUAAGAAAUAAUAUAAAUACAAUUAAUGCGUUCCAGACACCCAGAAGUAUUAAAACAAAAUAAUUUUUUACAUGAAAUAUAGAUGUAGAUACACAGAAAACAAUGAGACAUGAAGAACGAAACAUUAACAGCAUAACACUUACAUUUAUUGGUGAUUCUUCUUAGUGUAUGGAAGACUGGAGGAGGGGAGAGGUUGGAUUAAUUACUGUUUGAAAGGAGAAUCCCCAUCCAUAAAGAUUUCAGGUAUGAAGUCCUUUUCUGGGGUUACUUCCCUUCUUUGUUUUUUACUGUCGCUAGGACCAGCUUGAGAACCACUACACACCUGUGGCACUAAAUACUUGGCCAGAGAGCUCUGUUUCUGGCAUCUCUAAAAUUUCCCUAAAAUGGGUCAAGACUUUGUCAUUGUAAAUGUUGCCAACACGGUUUGCAACAGCUUUGUCAGGGUGAUGUUUCUCCACAAAUCUUUCCUCCUGAGUAAUGUAGGUCGUCCUUGGCAUUUUCUUCCAAAAGAGUCCUGUUUCAUCACAAUUGAACACUUGUGGUUUGAAUUGUUUAGUCUUUACGUACAGUGGACCCCCGCAUAACGAUUACCUCUGAAUGCGACCAAUUAUGUAAGUGUAUUUAUGUAAGUGCAUUUGUACGUGUAUGUUUGGGGGUCUGAAAUGGACUAAUCUACUUCACAAUAUUUCUUAUGGGAACAAAUUCGGUCAGUACUGGCACCUGAACAUACUUCUGGAGUGAAAAAACAUCGUUAACCGGGGGUCCACUGUACUCCUUGAAUUCACUUAGAAUUUUUCAGCUACAUUUUUGUCUGAACUGGCAGCCUCACCAUGCCUUAUCACACUGUGUAUGCCACUACAUUUCUUAAAUCUCUCAAACCAGCCUUUGCUGGCCUUAAAAUCACAAAUAUCAGUACUCGUUGCAGGCAAUUUCUUUACGAGAUCGUCAUGCAACUGCCUUGCUUUUCACAAAUAAUCGACUGCAUGAGACCAUCUCCUGUUAAUUGUUUCUCGGUGAUCCACACCAACAAUAACUUUUCAACAUUUUUGAGUACUUGCGAUCUCAUUUUUGUGAGCAUAUUCAUAUAGUCGGACUUGAGUCCUGGAAAUGGGAAGUACAAUGCCUGCACUUUAAAGGAGGGGUUUGGGAUAUUGGCAGUUUGGAGGGAUAUGUUGUGUAUCUUUAUAUGUGUAUGCUUCUAAACUGUUGUAUUCUGAGCACCUCUGCAAAAACAGUGAUAAUGUGCGAGUGUUGUGAAAGUGUUGAAUGAUGAUGAAAGUAUUUUCUUUUUGGGGCUUUUCUUUCUUUUUUGGGUCACCCUGCCUCGGUGGGAAACGGCCGACUUGUUGAAAAAAAAAAAAAAUUACCCCCUUUGCAACAGCAACUUCUUGAUUUCUUUUUUCUUGCCCACGAUGGAAGCAAUGGUUAUAUGGGGUUUCUUAAUAUAUCCUGGCCAGCUCUGCCACACGUACGCCACUUUCGUGUUGUUCAUUGAUGUUUUUCUUGAAUUCUAUCAUAUUUCUCACCUGGAGCCAUGGUGGCUUAUUUAGCAGUUGCAAGCACUAAAAUGAAUGGAUUAUGAAAUGUAUCGUAUAAUCUUGUGAGGUGAUGGUCACUUGCUGAUAAACAAUAGCACACUGGCUGGGAAUGGAGUGAGACCGCUCGGGGCCGUGCGUACACAUUCGGGAUGAACGACUAUUUUCGAGUCAAACGAUGAUAUGUGAGUCAAUGUUUUGACGAAAAAGAGUUAUGAUUUUCGAAAAUUAUGACUUUCGAUGCUUAUAAAAAACGAGGGACCACUGUACAUAUAAAGAGCAUUAUACAGUUUAUUGAAUAAAAAUAGGAGGUAAUAAACAAAGUACAGACACUAAAUAUAAUACUCCAGCAUUUUUCCUUAAUUCAGAAGUGAUUCUGGCAUUUUUUAAUUAAUCUUUGUUAGAAGGUCUAUUAGUAGUGCUCUUUUUUUUUUUCUUCUUUUUUUUUUUUUUUUUUUUAUCGUUGAAGCAACCAUGCUUGUUUUGCUUUUAGUAAUAGGACUAUGAAAAAUAUUUACUUGGUAUACAAGUAGUAAAACAAGUCAGGCAGAAACUUGGACAGAGGGAAAUGUAUACAAGAAUGAAUUAAAAUAACUCAAGAGAACUGGAAAAUAACAAGGGUUAAAGUUGUUAAUGCAUUAGUGUGGGUAAAUCAGCUGACAUGGAUCUUUGUCAUAUGAUGACCUGUUGGGUGAUACCAUAGUCCUAUGGUAGGGACAACACAAGAAGCAGCUGUUGAUGUAGGGUUCUGUGGACUGAGGUGUCUACUGACACACACAAAUGUGGUAGCUUAGCUAUUGGCCUAUGGUGGGCCACGGCAGUGACAGCUGGCUCAGUGGUCUGUGGCUAAAGUGAGUGGAGAGUAUUUGUUAUUAAAAUGUGGCCAAUGAGAGCAAUACAUGUUUAUUAGAAAGAAGAUUCUUGAAAAUGUAUUCAUGAAUAAUCAAGGCAAAAACACUAUUCUGUAAUUCUUGUUAUUGCAGUAAAAUAUUUAAGAAGAUUCUGUCUGAAAAUAGUUAUAGUUCGGUUUUUAUUUGUAAAUAUUGUACAAAUGACUGUAUGUAGUAUAUAAAUGGUUAAAGCCAAAUUAAAAAAAAUCACAUGCUGUACCAUCUAACAUCAUUCAGAAGUCAAGCAAAAUGCUCAAGACAAAUAGGUCGCUUGUACUUUUCAUCUCUACCAGAAAUGGUAGAACUUUGUUAAAUUGCUUCUACUUACUACCAGUUGUAUGAAUAAUAUUUUUCCAAUCCAGUAUAAUAAUUUCCUUUCUAAAUUUAACAUAUGUUGAUUUCAACAGUUUGUUCAUUCAUUUAAUAUCAUCAUUGAAAAUAUAAAGAUGUAAAGGAAUGCAUACUUGCAUACAAAAUAUAAUAACUUGUGCUUAAAUCCCAUUCUUUGUGUUUUUUGAAUACUGCCCUCCUCUUCAGUCCCUUUGACUUACUUUUUCCAGGCACAUUUUUACUAUAGAAAUAAAUAAUAAGGCUUGAUAAUA